AGUUGCCUUGGAGGUGCUCUAAAGUCUCGCAAGAAAAGGUGGAGGAGAAAGAGAAACUACUCCGCAAGCGAGGAUGCACCGAAACCCUCGCGUCCUCCUCCGCGCCGCCGCCCAUCUCCUCCGCCCCUCCACCGCCGCUCCGCAACCCCUGACGAAUGCCAGACCUCCCCUGCCGCUUUCUCCGCGGGGCCUCAUCCUCCCCGCACAACGCCGCGCCUUCUCGACGGACUACGGCAAGGACGUCGACGAGGUGAACCGCAAGUUCGCCGAAGCGAGGGAGGAGAUCGAGGCUGCCAUGGACAGCAAGGAGACGGUGUACUUCAACGAGGAGGCCGCCUGCGCGCGCGACGCGGCCGGUGCGGCCCUCGGCGCCUUCGAUGCGCUGCUCGCGCGGGUCCCGCCCGCAGAUGCCGACGCGCUCCGCCGGUCCAUGGGGCUCAAGAUGGAGCAGCUCAAGGCCGAGCUCAAGCAGCUCGAGGAGUAGUGGUUGCUCCAGGCCGUCCUUUGAUGAGCGCAUCGAGCUCACAGUGCGUACAGCUUCCAAGUCCGGUGUCAACUUAUUUUAGCCUAUUCUUGCGUGGAAGUUGCUACAGAACAAGUAACAGCUAGUGAGCUCGAACGUCUGCUCCCUCACCUCCAACGGGCUAGACGGCUAGUUCAGCACAUAAAGGCAAGAGAAACAACAUAUCUACAUUUCGGAGUGCAAUUUUAGUUCCAUGCUAAACAGAUCACUUCGUCCACUAUGUUAUAGCAUCAAAUACGUUAUCGAACGGUGCAAUGUGAAUUACCCAACAGAUCCAGGAAGCCACAAAAUCAGGAACAAAAUCGACCAAUCAGAUAUGACGGGGUGAAGUCCUAAUAACUGACCGGGGUGGCAUGAAUCAUUUGUACGUGGUAGCAGAUCACAAGAUGUCGCACUCAAAUAUAGUACUUCACAAAGAACACCUUGAUCAGGCACAAAGACCUGCACAUGCACAAGAAAUGGAAUCAACACAUAAUUUAACCUGAACCUACCUCAACCAUGAGAAAAUAGGAGCACUGCUCCUUGCCUUGAGUGGCUGCUUGCUUUGGUUUAGCUUGCCCCAGCACAACAGAGAACCUACCUCAACUCAUUGGGUGGCAUAGAUUAAUUUAGUUUCUCCUCCUAGUACUAAAAAUAGGACUAUGUGGCUUAGCAAGUUAAGCUAGCAUACAUCAGAGAACAAACUAAUUUCACCAAUUUAUUAUUGUAAUCUCUACUAAAUGCAAAACUCUACGUCUGCUACAUAUUGUAUUAGAUAUGGUACUGCUAAGGUGAUUCUAAUCUGAAAAAAUAUUGAUCAGAGUGCAAAAACCUCCAGAAGGGAAAAAAAAUCCAACUUCGCCACGUUGAACACCAAGAGUGUAAAAAAGGAUAUAAUGACACAAAAUUGGUAGCAGUACAAUUGGAUGGCUCAAACUCAUGUGUCAGAGGUCCUAAAAGUUAUAAGACUUGUAUUCAGGAAAUAAGAAAAUUCAGUAAUAUAGCUAAAGCACAAAAAUGGAUUAAAAAUGUAACUAUGGAUGGAUUAAACAACCAAAUGGCUAGCUGAUAGAGAGAAAUUCCAUAUGCAUUCUAUUUUUUAAGCUGAGUUCCAGGUGCAUUAUUAGGCAAUCAAAAGAGCCUAAACAUGCAAGCAGAUUUAAGCAAACUAAUUUAGAUCAUCAAUAACCUUAUAACUUUGAGGGCUACAAUGGACUGGGAACAAUUUGUGGAACAUGCAGAAGGUAUACACAUACUUGUGUGCAGCUCGUCCAAAAAGAAGAAAUUAAAAUUGUAUCUUGACAAGUUCGCAUUUGUUUUGAACACCAGAUGCUACUAUAUAGUGAGCUACAAAUGGUGAAACAAAUAGUACUCAUGCAGAGAAGCAAAACAGCACAACUAUUGAAAAGGCUAGGGGAUUAUUAUUAAAAGUAGGUGCAUGUAAUCCACAUUAUCCUACAGCUAAAGUAGCAGCAUAUCUGAUUGUUUAAUCUAAUGGUUGGUAUCUGGAGGAGAGAAGUAUACAUUUGUAAUAUGUUGACUCUAUGACAGCUUUAAUCACCAUUAGAAACAAUCCUGAUUGGAAAUUUCUAAAAAGAAACCCAAGCUGUAGCAGAUUGAUAUUAUGAAUCUAAAUGGUUAGAAAUUUAAUGCAAUUGCACCAGCACAAAUAUGAAUAUAUCAACAUAUGAAUGCAAAAUGGUCUUGCAAAAAAUAGAACAAAGCUUCCAUGAUAAGAAACUCACCUGCCCAUCAGGAGUUGUUCUAGACCAAUAUAGGUAAAGAAGAACAAGAACUUUCCAUCAGGAGUUAUUCUAGGUCAGCAUGAUCUGCACACUGUCAGAUGAAGAAUUGACAUCUCCAGACAACAACUCCACGCAUUUAUAACAAGAAUAUUGCAAGGCCACAGGAAUAAACAAAAAUUGAAAAUGCAUUGACACUUGAGGGCUAAUAUCCUACCAUUAUAUUAUGAAUAUCAGUAUUAACAAAUUCUCAUUCCAUGAACAGAGUGUAAACAACUGAGAACUGACGGCAUUUAGUUAGUCAGAUCCAGUACUAAUCAGAACUUGCUUGGGCGCUCCACAAUUUUCUUGCUGAAACCAUACUUGCUCUAGUAGAAACCAAAUUGCUAGAAAUUUAUUUAUCAAAGCAUACUAUUUUUUUUGCAAGUUAUCAAAGCAUAAUAUAAUUGAAAGAAGUUGCAAUACUUGAUUUCGAAUCUCGCUAAUUUCUCCUAACCACCAUAUCACUCCUCUCCGACUUCACUUUUACAAAUAACUUGCUGAAUAUAACAUGCUUCUACAAAAUAUAAAGGCUAUAGUUAAUAUAUAAUACAGUAUAUGUUAUUAAUCUUCAAAAGAUAUUGUAAAUUUUACAGCAACAAUGACGACUCUGCAUGCACAUUCCACAAACGUUUUUAUAUUGGAUCCAGCAGUUAAAAAUAAAAGUAGACCUCAGUAAUGUUUGUGGCUGCUGAAUACUUGUCAAGGAAAUGUACUUCUCAGCAAGGUGAAUUUUUUUGAUGGGCUUGAAACCUAUCACAGGCAACAAAUAAUUGAUCGAACACCUACCGUGCAUGCCAUGCCACAGCUAGAGUAACUUGGACGAGCGAUUAAGCAAGAUAUUGGAACGACGCACCAGUGAAGACAUGCAUGAGCAGAUCCUGAUAGCGCCAAUGGAGAAGACGGGGUUACAAAGGACCCUUGCGAGCGCGUGGAUUCUGCGCCGGCAUUGCUGCGUGUGCCGCAACCAACGUCGGUCUCGCCUUCAUCACCGUUGACGUGCUUGAGGGCUGCGAGGUCACCGGUGCGACCCUCUCCUCUCGCUCCCGUGUGGGACCCCUAGGACGCCGAUCUUGUUGAUGGCCGGCCGGGAUGGUGUCCAUGGAUAGGCGAGCUCGCACACGAUGCAUUUGUUUGGGACGGUGUCGCCGUGCUGGGCACCACCACGUUCUCUGCCAGGAAUGGCAUCUUGGGUGGUGGGUUCUUCGUCGUGUUCCCUAAUGGGGGCGGCUUAAGAAGACAUCACCGCGGCUGCUCCCACACCGGGCACCGGCGACCCCAACCGCUGCGGCAAGGCGAGCUGCUACGCCGGUGACGGUGAAGGGCGGCUUGUCCUGGCAAAGGUGUGUGUGUGUGUGUUGGGGGGGGGGGGGGGGGCGAUGAUUUUUCUCGGCAGCGACGAUGGAGGAGGCCGACUGCGGCAAUUUCUCUGGGGAGAGACACGGGAUCAACAUCAAGGUGGUUGGGAUUUGGAGGCGGUGGGGCGUGACCGCGUGGGAGUGGAUCAGGUGGGACGUGCGUCCAGUCAUUUUUCUCUCGCUGUCCUCGAACGUGGGGUGUUUUCUUCGAUAUGGGGCGGGGUUGCAGCAGUGGGAGGUCGAACCAUCGAUACUAAGGGCGAGGAUAAUCGAACGAGGUCGAACCAUCACGACGUUUGAUUGCCCUUUAAUAGUAGAGAUAGGAGGGUUUUGAGCUGCAACUAUCAUUUGCUAUCUGUAGUAAUGCUUAGGAAAACUGGCAGCUUUUGAUGACAUCUUUUUUGACGAAAGGCAGUUUACACUGCUUUCAUUGUGAAUACUCUCUCCGUCCCAAAAUUCUUGUCUUAGAUGUGUCUAGAUAUAAAUGUAUCUAGUCACGUUUUAGUAUUUAGAUACAUUCAUUUUUAAACAAACCUAAGACAAGAAUAUUGGGACAGAGGGAGUAGAUAGGAACAGAGUUUUACAGCCCAGGCACUAAAGCCUGAGUGAAAUGCUCCCAAAGAAGGAGAAGAGAAAACAAAACGAAGGGGGAAACAUGCAAUCUCACAUUUAAUCAGGCUCAUGAGGACGGUCGUCAAGCAGUAGGGCACGCAUCUGGCCAGCCUCAGUCCACAUCUGAGCUUCCAUCUGGAGUUUACGGAACAAAGUGGCGACCGAGCAUGAGUGAUGGCUGAAGACACAUUCAUUCCUUUCUUUCCAGAUUGACCACCAAACUAGCACCACAAUCGAUCUCCAGGACUUGGCUGCAUCUUGAUUGAAACCCAAGGAGCUACGGUCUCACCAAGCAGUCAGAGUACCAUCAGUCGCAGCCGGAAUGAGACUAGCCGGUUGCUGCAACUUGUCCAAUACUAGACGCCAUAGCUCCGAAGCAAAAGGACAGAUCGCAAAAAGAUGCAGUGAGGAUUCAGCAGUAGUUAAGCACAUCAAGCAGCUGGGGUCAUGGUCCCAGCCACGGAAGGCAAGGUUAUCCGCAGGUAAGCACCGGCCUUGCAAUGGCCAAGGGGACAACUGACAUUUGGGUGGAGCAUCAGAAUUCCAGGCCAUCUUGGCAAAAGGUGGCUUGAUACAACCUGAGAAAGUGAGAAGUGCAGAGCAUAGGCCGAGCUAGCACUGUAGGUGCCACUAGCAGUCCAUAGCCAUGUCAAUGAGCCCGGCUGGCCCGGGGUAAGCUGAAACUGAUGGAGAUUGUUCCACAUGCCCAAGAACUGGAGUAAGGAAGCUGCUGUCAGAUCAGCCUUGAAGUGACGCAUCCAUUUAUCCUGUGCCAAGGCAUCUUUAAUUGUGAAUCCUUCGCAACGUGCAUUGACGAAACAACUCCAGGGACUUGACGGCAGCACUAUCCACGGCCUAAGCUGUCCAUCCAAGACAGCCAUAGCCAACGACAACGAAGCGCAUCACUCUUUAGGAGACGGUUCAGAAUAGCCAACCCGCCACAAGGGCACAGGACACAGAGCUGUUUCCAAUUCACCACACCUACCACGGCCUUGUUAGCCCAAAGAAAAUCCCUGCAAGAGUAUCCAUAACCAGCACAAACAGGAGAGGGGACAAUGGCUCUCCUUGGCGGAGCCCUGCUGGUGAGUAAUCUUUUCAGAGAACUCGCCGUUUACCAAGAUCCUAGUCGACGACGAGGCCAGCAGCACCGCAAUCCAAUCUCUCCAUCUCCUGACAAAACCUUUGGCCGACAAUACUUUCAGGAGGAAUUCCCACGAGACAUCAAAAGCCUUUUCCACAUCAAGCUUGAGCAUCAAAGCAGGGAUCUUCUUGAUACUAAGCAAUCUUCAAACUAUUCUAUCCACAUGCACGACGACCCUCGAUUCCUGUUUUGGUACCAUAGUACUGAUCUGAGCUCCAUUUGUGAGCUUUUGCUCCAUGGAAAUGAUUGAUCUACUGCACUUUGAUAUGCCCAUUGAGAGACAAAAUCUCAGUGUCAAGUAAUCUGGGCUUAUAUGUUGCAACUUUGGGUCACUUGAAUCUUAUGUUAUCCUUGGCCUUAAUAAUUCCUUUGAUGUA